UGCGGAUCCCCAAGUACUGCACCUCGAAAGUGACAGCACAGGGCAGCCACCAGCACCCUGGAGGCAGUUUUGAAUGUCUUCCCACCACGGCCCCUGCCUGCGCUCACCUUGGCCCAGCCGAGGGCCCACAGGGCCUGGGGAGCCCUGUCCAUCUGCCUUGCAAACCUUCUUGAGCCCCCACCACCUGUCUCAGCCGGCAGGAGGCUCAAAACUUGGUUUCACAUCAGUCAGCUGAGGAUCUUUUAAUCCUUUGUGGUCCAUGCUGGCCUAGGCCAUGGUCAGGAGGGGAGGGUGGAUGCUCUAGGGAUAGGGCCUGGCACAGAGGCCCCUGCCCUGACCCAUAACUGGGAGCAAGGCACAGGGUCCCCUGGGGCCUUAGCCCCUUACAACCCUGAGAUCAUGGCAGGGUAGGGUUAGGGUUCAAACUUGGUCCCGGGGGCUCCCAG